GGCCGGUGAUGUAAAAUGAUAUUUGCUACUCUUGAUUGAGAAUUUGUUUUCUCAUCUGAUGAUUAUUAUCCACCAAGAUCUCUGAGGCC